AGAGAAUCACUUGAACCCAGGAGGUGGAGGUUGCAGUGAGCUGAGAUUGUGCCACUGCAGUCCAGCCUGGGCAACAGAG
rnacentral:snRNA from 1 species